rnacentral:rRNA from 2 species
AGUCUUUGCAGUAAUGCAAGGCAUACGGCUCAGUAACACGUAGUCAACUUACCCUAUGGACGAGGAUAAUCUCGGGAAACUGAGCAUAAUACUCGAUAGAUCAUAAUGCCUGGAAUGGUUUAUGGUUGAAAUGAUUCGUCGCCAUAGGAUAGGACCGCGGCCUAUCAGCUUGUUGGUGAGGUAAUGGCCCACCAAGGCGAUUACAGGUACGGGCUCUGAGAGGAGAAGCCCGGAGAUGGGUACUGAGACAAGGACCCAGGCCCUAUGGGGCGCAGCAGGCGAGAAAACUUUGCAAUGUGCGAAAGCACGACAAGGUUAAUCCGAGUGAUUUCUGCUAAAGAAAUCUUUUGCAAGUCAUAAAACCACUAGUGAAUAAGGGGUGGGCAAGUUCUGGUGUCAGCCGCCGCGGUAAAACCAGCACCUCAAGUGGUCAGGAGGAUUAUUGGGCCUAAAGCAUCCGUAGCCGGCUCUGUAAGUUUUCGGUUAAAUCCAUGUGCUCAACGCAUGGGCUGUCGAAAAUACUGCAUAGCUAGGGAGUGGGAGAGGUAGACGGUACUCGGUAGGAAGGGGUAAAAUCCUUUGAUCUAUCGAUGACCACCUGUGGCGAAGGCGGUCUACCAGAACACGUUCGACGGUGAGGGAUGAAAGCUGGGGGAGCAAACCGGAUUAGAUACCCGGGUAGUCCCAGCUGUAAACGAUGCAGACUCGAUGAUGCAUUGGCAUAUAGCCAGUGCAGUGUCGCGGGGAAGCCGUUAAGUCUGCCGCCUGGGAAGUACGUACGCAAGUAUGAAACUU